rnacentral:rRNA from 1 species
GACGAACGCUGGCGGCGUGCCUAAUACAUGCAAGUCGAACGAGUGGCGGACGGGUGAGUAAUGCUUGGGCAUCUAGCUUAUGGCGGGGGAUAACUACGGGAAACUGUAACUAAUACCGCGUACCAUAGGAUGAGCCCAAGUGGGAUUAGGUAGUUGGUGAGGUAAAGGCUCACCAAGCCGACGAUCGCUAGCUGGUCUGAGAGGAUUACCAGCCACACUGGGACGGAGACACGGCCCAGACUCCUACGGGAGGCAGCAGUGGGGAAUAUUGCGCAAUGGGGGCAACCUGACGCAGCCAUGCCGCGUGAAUGAAGAAGGCCUUCGGGUUGUAAAGUUCUUUCGGUAGCGAGGCGUUAACUACAGAAGAAGCACCGGCUAACUCCGUGCCAGCAGCCGCGGUAAUUC